GAUAAACGCUGGCGGCGCACAUAAGACAUGCAAGUCGAACGGACUUAACUCAUUCUUUUAGAUUGAGAGCGGUUAGUGGCGGACUGGUGAGUAACACGUAAGCAACCUGCCUAUUAGAGGGGAAUAACAGUGAGAAAUCAUUGCUAAUACCGCAUAUGCUAACAGUAUCGCAUGAUACAGUUAGGAAAGGAGCAAUCCGCUAAUAGAUGGGCUUGCGUCUGAUUAGCUAGUUGGUGGGGUAACAGCCUACCAAGGCAACGAUCAGUAGCCGGCUUGAGAGAGUGUACGGCCACAUUGGGACUGAGACACGGCCCAG
rnacentral:rRNA from 1 species